rnacentral:rRNA from 1 species
AGCGAACGCUGGCGGCAGGCUUAACACAUGCGAGUCGAGCGGGCACUUUCGGGUGUCAGCGGCGGACGGGUGCGUAACGCGUGGGAACGUGCCCUCUGGUUCGGAAUAACUCAGGGAAACUUGAGCUAAUACCGGAUACGCCCUUUUGGGGAAAGGCUUGCUGCCGGAGGAUCGGCCCGCGUCUGAUUAGCUAGUUGGUGAGGUAACGGCUCACCAAGGCGACGAUCAGUAGCUGGUCUGAGAGGAUGAUCAGCCACACUGGGACUGAGACACGGCCCAGACUCCUACGGGAGGCAGCAGUGGGGAAUAUUGGACAAUGGGCGCAAGCCUGAUCCAGCCAUGCCGCGUGAGUGAUGAAGGCCUUAGGGUUGUAAAGCUCUUUUAUCCGGGACGAUAAUGACGGUACCGGAGGAAUAAGCCCCGGCUAACUUCGUG